rnacentral:rRNA from 1 species
UACGAGGUAGCAAUAUUUCGUAGUUGGAGCGGCGCAAGGGUGCGUAACACGUGGGUAAUCUGCCGUGAAGUCUGGAAUAACUUGCUGAAAGGCGAGCUAAUACCGGAUGUGAAAAUUGGAGGGCAUCUUCUGAUUUUCAAAGUUGGGGACCGUAAGGCCUGACGAUUCACGAUGAGCCCGCGGCCUAUCAGCUAGUUGGUGAGGUAACGGCUCACCAAGGCUAAGACGGGUAGCUGGUCUGAGAGGACGACCAGCCACACUGGAACUGAGACACGGUCCAGACACCUACGGGUGGCAGCAGUCGAGAAUUUUUCACAAUGGGCGAAAGCCUGAUGGAGCGACGCCGCGUGGGGGAUGAAUGGCUUCGGCCCGUAAACCCCUGUCAUUCGCGAACAAUGCCUGCGUGCUAACACCACGCAGGUUGAUAGUAGCGGAAGAGGAAGGGACGGCUAACUCUGUGCCAGCAGCCGCGGUAAUACAGAGGUCCCAAGCGUUGUUCGGAUUCACUGGGCGUAAAGGGUGCGUAGGUGGUCGGGUAAGUCUGAUGUGAAAUCUCGGAGCUCAACUCCGAAACGGCAUUGGAUACUAUUCGGCUUGAGGGUUGGAGGGGGGACUGGAAUUCACGGUGUAGCA